rnacentral:rRNA from 1 species
UACGUAGGGUGCGAGCGUUGCCCGGAUUUAUUGGGCGUAAAGGGCGCGUAGGCGGCCACGCACGUCCGUUGUGAAAUCGCCCGGCUCAACUGGGCGGGGUCGGCGGAUACGGCGUGGCUGGAGCAAGCUAGGGGGCAAUGGAAUUCCCGGUGUAGUGGUGGAAUGCGUAGAUAUCGGGAGGAACACCAGUGGCGAAGGCGGUUGCCUGGAGCUUUGCUGACGCUGAUGCGCGAAAGCGUGGGGAGCGAGCCGG